rnacentral:rRNA from 1 species
GACGAGAGGUCCAAGCGUUGUCCGGAGUUACUGGGCGUAAAGGGUGUGUAGGAGGUCGUAUUAGUCUUGUUUUAAAUCUUCGGGCCCAACCCGAAGGCUGGACGGGAAACGGUACGACUAGAGGGUACGAGAGGCAAGCGGAACUCAUGGUGGAGGGGUGAAAUCCGUUGAUAUCAUGGGGAACACCAAAGGCGAAGGCAGCUUGCUGGCGUAUACCUGACUCUGAAACACGAAAGCGUGGGGAUCAAAAAGG